CCCCUUCCUGCUCCUCGUCCACCACCGCCGUCACCGCGGCCAAAAUCACAAUGCACAGAGCACAAAAUUCUCAACAACUUUCAGAAAUUUCUCAACAAUGCGUAGAGCACAAAAUUCCCGAUUUACUUCAGGAUCCAUCGUUGCCGAUUGGUAUUGUCAUUACCUUUUUCUUUGCGUCUCUCCUAAUACCACAACUCAAUGGAAUCUAUAUUUACUUUGGUUUCUCAUUCCUCAAUUGAGAGAAAACAACUAAACUGAAAAGAAAAAAAAAAGUACUGAAAUUUAAACCUUUUUUUGGACGACAGCUCGUAAACUUCUUCAGGUGCUUCAUCCUCGAGGAAAAGUGGACAAUCAGCCACGUUUCUAGAGUGCUGAUGGAGUCAUCUUGCUCAUGAAAUCUACCUUCC
rnacentral:lncRNA from 1 species